UAAACUUCUCUGCCGUUGGAGCUUCGUCAGCCCCAAUACUUCAGUAGCAAGGGCAGACUUGGUAUUGAAAAGAGGAUGCUACUGAGGAUCUAGACUCUGCUAAGCAUAAUACACUAAGUGGGGAGAGCAGCACACAAGAAGAAAACCUCAUUGUUCAUCAGUCAAAAGAGGAAAAUGAAGAGAAGCAGCUCAAAAGCAUAAACAAUUACAAAACAUCAACUUUACCAACCAGUGUGGAAGGUACAG
rnacentral:lncRNA from 1 species